rnacentral:tRNA from 1 species
UUAAUUGAAACCAAAAUAGAGGUAUAUCACUGUUAAUGAUAAAAUUGAACUACAGCUCCAAUUGAA